UACGGGGGGGGCGAGCGUUGUUCGGAAUUACUGGGCGUAAAGGGCGCGUAGGCGGUUCGCUAAGUUGGAUGUGAAAACUCUGGGCUCAACCCAGAGCCUGCAUCCAAAACUGGCGGGCUAGAGUUCUGGAGGGGGUAGCGGAAUUCCUGGUGUAGCGGUGAAAUGCGUAGAUAUCGGGAGGAACACCGGUGGCGAAGGCGGCGACCUGGGUCGAGACUGACGCUGAGGCGCGAAAGCUAGGGUAGCAAACGGG
rnacentral:rRNA from 1 species